rnacentral:misc_RNA from 1 species
GUAUGCUCGUUCCUUGCUCUUAAUAGUCUCUCUCUCUCUCUCUCUUAAAUUUUUUUAUUCAGUCAAAAGUGUGCAAUUGGCCGUCAUCAUCGUGGGUGACAGCUAACUCUACCUAUAAGGCCAGGUUUGGCACACGAGUUUUCUUUCUUUGUUCACGGGCUCAAGCUUCUCUAGUUUGUUUUUGCCGGGUGUUUGAGCUUGGGUUUCUAUUACUUUCUAUAUUCUUUGGCAGCUGAGGGUUGGUGAGAAAGAGUGAGCAACUCUAAGCUUGAGCUUUGAGGUUUUUGUUCAUGGGUUCCUGCUUUAGUGUAAGAAUCAAAGCUGAGAUUCCUUUUCACCAUGGGGCAGACCCAAAAUAUAGCAGCAAAGGUGGAUAUGAUCCAAGUGGAUCUAGCAGCAAGGUCUCGUCUGUCACGGUGCCUUCAACUCCUCGGACAGAGGGUGA